UACAGAGGGUGCGAGCGUUAUUCGGAAUUACUGGGCGUAAAGCGCACGUAGGCGGCUUUGCAAGUCGGGUGUGAAAUCCCCGGGCUCAACCUGGGAACUGCAUCCGAGACUGCUUUGCUCGAGUAUGGGAGGGGGAAGUGGAAUUUCCGGUGUAGCGGUGAAAUGCGUAGAUAUCGGAAGGAACAUCAGUGGCGAAGGCGACUUCCUGGACCAAUACUGACGCUCAGGUGCGAAAGCGUGGGGAGCAAACAGG
rnacentral:rRNA from 1 species